AUUACUAGAUAGUCAGAUAUUUACGUGAUAACACAGUGUUCAAUUAUGGACGAAUCUUAAAAUUUUCAUCAGAUAUGCAUUUUAUACUUCCUUUACACCACUUAAGUAAAGUUUCAAUACGUGCAAAAUGUUUAUAGUGUUUUGCACUUUCUGUUCUGAUUUCAAUUUUGUUUCAGGUUUAAUUCGAGUGUUCUUUGGAAUAUUGAAAUUUCAUUAUUUGAACAUUUGACAGAUAUAUGUCGUUAUUGUUUUACCUUCAAAGCAGCACUUGUAAUACCGUUGAAUAUGCCAAAAACAAUAAAAGAAAUCAUUAUGGAGGAUUUCCUCACCUGCAGUAUAUGUAUGGGGGAAUUUAAAGAUCCGAAAGUACUGAUCUGUCUCCAUACGUUUUGUGAAGAGUGUAUAUGUACCACAAUACAACAUCAACUUCGGACGUCACGGAGACGGCGGAUUUCGUGUCCUACAUGCCGAACUGUGAUGACAAUUGACCUCAACAGUGACGAUUAUAAUCUUCUAACUAACUUUCCAGUCAAGAAUUUACUGGAAAUGAUCAAGGUAAAUGAGCAACUGUUUAGUUAAGAUUUUAUCUGAAUGCUGAAAAUUUUCAGAACGACAGUCAACUGUGUUCUAUAUCCUGUUAGAAUAACUUUUGCUGUUAGUCCGUGUUAUACUGCCUCUGUUAUUCCCUGCGGUCUGGAGACCGCAGGGUAUUGGUACGCGUUUAACUUUUGAGGCAUGGAGGAGCACGUGACCUGUUUUCGGUACAUGGAGGAGCAUGUUAUCUGUAAACCGUACAUGAUUGGUUAACUGACCUUUUCGAAAAUCUAGCUAAAUACCGUUUGUCGGUACGUUUCGGAUUUACCUCUAGGGAUUUAAUUCACUCCGAAUUACACCUAAUGAAGAU